rnacentral:tRNA from 1 species
GCCUGGGUGGCUCAGUGGUUGAGUAUCUGUCUUCGGUUCAGGUUGUGGUCUUGGGGUCCUGGGAUCAAGUCCCACAUCAGGCU